AGUACAGUAGCAGGGCGCCCUACUGUACGCGCCCACCCGCCCGCCGGCACGUGACCUGCGCCCCCUCCCCGCUGCCAGCCCCCCGUCCGCCCGCCCGCCAGGCGGCGCCCACCCACCGGCCCUCACCCUACAACCCUGGCUGGGUGGGGGAGAGGGAGCAGGACGCGCAGCGUCGCAGCUGCUGCUGCCGCUGCUGCCGCCACCACUGCUACCACCACCACCACCACCACCACCACCGUGGCUGUCGCUGUUGGGCAGACCCUAGGCGGCCUCGGCCUGGGGAGUUAGGGGACUAGGGGUGAGAAGGAGUCUGCCAUACUAAGCACAGAGAGUGGGCCUAAGCUCUGCUUUCCAGUGACCCCCCAAAGAGGAUGUAGGAGGAGGGGCCUGCGCGGCGCAGCAGAGCCCCCUGCAAAGAGGGGACACCGAGUCACGGCCACCCCCUCUCAUGCGGGCCUCAGCAAGACCCAAACCCAAACCUAGACAGGCCCACCCGCCACCCGGCUGGGUUGUCUCCUACCGCAGAGCCUUGGCCGCUGAGGCAGGCAAAGAAGAGAGGUGGUGCGGUGGUAACCCUUAGCUGCAGAGGGGGCUGCUGGGGAUGAGGUCGGGGCGCCGGCAGCAGUGGCGUGGAGCAGCAGACACCUAGCCUGUCCCUCCCCUCUCUCUCCCGCCGCUCCCCCUCCCCGCACACACGGCAGUGGCUCUGGCCUCAGAUGAUCCCGCUCCCCCCUCCCCCCAACCGCAGCCCCGCACAGUCGGGCGGGCGGGCGCACUCACCGAUGGGGGGAGCCGAGCAGAGGACAGUAGACGCACCAGGGCUAGGGUGCCCGCAGUGACUGUUCCCGUCGACUCUGCCCUUCCCCACAUGCAACAAUCAAAAAGAAACUCCACACUCACCCAAAAACCUGCAGCCAGUCCCCCUUGGGACCACGACUGACUGCCUGCCCGCCCGCCUCCCCCUCCUCCUUCUGAGAUUUGGGGAAGGGGGGCACCCUGCUCAGGGCUGAGCCCAGCCUGAGUUGCUGGCCAGCUCUGCGGAUGAACCAGGCCCUGUGAGCAUUCAGACCCUAGCCCACUCUUCUUCCUUUCUGGAAGGACCCAGAAUGGAGGAGAAAACCAAGCAGGCUUUCGGAAAUUCAUGAGCUAAAAAUGUCAGGAAUUUCCUGGGAAACGCAGUUCCUUACGGGAUUCAUUAAAGCAGGUUCGCUUGCCCCUUUUACUCUUCCCAGAAACUUGUGUCAAGGAGAGAUCCCACUCCCAAAAGUAACAUAUUAAGUGGUCGCUGGUUUUUAUGCAGACAGCUAAGUUGCUGACCAUUAAUUAACCAGUGAGUCUUUGGACGGUGAUAGCUAAAAAGGAUCUUCUCUGGUAUUAGGGGCUCAGGAGUAGAGGAGCUCAGAGAUACCUGAUUUCUCUUUUACUAGACCUGACGUAUAACCUAGGGCUUAUUUCCAGAUAGGUAUUGAGUGCUUGUACUCUCUCACUGCAGUCUGCAGCCCUGGCACUCUGGGGAAAGCUAAGGCCUAUCUCCAGGGGACCCCCCCCUGCCAAUGCGCCCACUCUCUCCCCCAUCACCUUCUACAGGCAGCUGAGAGACACAGAUCACACAGCUCUGCCCCUGGCUUUCUCAAGCACAGAUCGUUGCCUCUAUCCUGAGAAAAGUAUACCUAUUCCAUUUGUGGGUUCUAUUCCCAUUGAGCAUCUCCCGCUUCCCCCAAAAGUAAGGAGACUUGCCUCCCUCACUCUUAGCCCGAGGGACAACUGGGAAUAUGAUUGCCCAGCUUCCUAGAAAAGAGUGGACUAACGAUCAAGAAACCAAGAGCAGGCUAGGGAAUAAGCCUUGCUGAUUCCUGAACCCUCAAAGCCCCCCUUACCAUAUCUCUUCACCUCCUGAACAAACUUGCCUGCUAGGUAUUCACAGCUUCCUUUUUCUCUUAGAAAGAGCCCCAUUCUACUCAGCAUUAGCUACUUCAGCCCUGGGCUGAAGUUUGCGACUUCCUACUGAAAAGAAACAAGAAGCACCUGGCCACCAAGGAGCAAACAGGCGCUGUCCUGUGCACCCGUCUCAGAACCACCCACCUAUGUCCAGUGGUCCCUGAAAUGGCUCUCUGAAGGGAAGGCUCCACACCAAGAGAUAAAAACCCAGACUUUGGGCCCCAUAAAGAACUUCCCCUUAUUUGGGAGGCAACCUCUAGUACCCUGUAGUACUCUUUCCGUGUUGAUUUUUUCUGCACUCCUUCCCCUGUCCCAAAGUCUAUUGAGAAGGGGACACAGGAACUUUUGAAGCACUUUGAACUGCACAGAAAUACACGUGUGAAGAAGCAGUAACUCCUCCAGGCUCGAACAGUAGCAAUCAGGACUCUGGAUAGACCCCAGCGCCUCCAGGGACAAAAAGGCUCAGUAGCAGGCUCUCCACAGAGAAUGGAGUGGGACAUUAUGUUUCACUUGUAAACUGAGGCUAAGAUCUGGUACAAUCCGAUCUAGAAGGGCUGCUGCUCUUCCUCAAGAGUUUACCUUGCGUCAAACCAAGCCCCUGCUCCCUAAUGAAAACUCAAGGCAGCAACAAGGCCAAUGAGAAUACGAUGAGGGCCCCACCCACCCCCCCUGCCAGUCCCUGCCUUUCUUCCGUGCUGAUUGCUGCCCCCAGGACAGAAGACUAAGACUCGAAACUGCCCCGCCUUCCUAUCCCAACUUCCCGCCUUCGUAUCCCAACUUCCCGCCUUCCUAUCCCGACUUGCAGUCUAAAUUUUCUUGCCCUCCGUCCUAGACGUCUAUAUACAGGGAUUCCGAAUGAUUUGAGUUUGGAAGUGCCCUGUUUUUCUGAAAAAGUGACUGCCACCAAGAACUGACUUCUUAGUUACCCAGCGCAGAGGCAACUGAUGAAGUUUCCAGACAGAACACAAGUUGAAUCUCAUUUGUACACUUAAACUGGGAAUUUUAAGGUCAAAUCAGCAAAUUACUGGGACCUAGAUCUCUCCACAUAAAUAUGUACUUGUUUUAUGCUAUUCAUUAUAUAUGUAUAAAACUUUUGCCCUUAUUUGCCAGCUUCUCUACUUUAUAUGUGUAUCUAAAAAGCAAACAAGAUUAACAAUGCCUUUCCAAAAUAAUUCAAUGAUAAAUAGGAUUUUUAGCAUAUUUUCACUACUGAAACGAGAGUUAAUUUCAGAAUAAGCCUUUAAGUGUGGGCUUUUUCUCAGACUAAGGAGGUGAAAGGCAGCUUUCUUUGGGCUAUAGUGUACAGUAGCCUUAAAAGGCAAUCUGGGAGAAAUGAAUAUAAACUUCCAGAAGUCUUAAAACAAAAAGUUUAAACUUUAAAUAAAACUUCACAGUUAUAUUUGCAUUGUAACACUGAAAAGUCAUUAGAAAAUAAGUGGAUUUUAAGACUUCUAACCAUUUGUUAAUAAUCUAAACAAUAUACUAACUUGGUGAAUGAAGUCUGUUCUAGUAUCCAGCUGUUUGAAUUUGUUAAUGUAAAACAAAUAGUUGUAAAACUAAAUGUAUAAUUUCAUUAGAAUGUAGGAAAGACAAAGGGAAAACGAAAUAUACAGCAAAUUAAUAUGCAGCAAAAAUCCAUGUUAAUGAAAAACAUCAAAAAGUAAACAUUUCCUUUCUCCUCACAAUAUGCUUACAAAGACAUAAUGUCUCUAGAUUUCUUGAGCCCUUUUAUUAUUAAUACAACAGACACAUUUUAAAGAGAAUAGAGACUGCUUUAUUUUUAAUCCCACUGUCUCUAUGUAUUUAACAAACUCUUACCAACAAAAAAUUGUGCGCAAAGAAAUACACAUUAGGCAGAACAAAAAAGAAAAAAGCUUUAAUUUUCUUCAGCCUGACUACAGGUGAUUCUGAAAUAAUCUAAUUCAGUUUUGGUUUUAUAAAGUAAAAAUCAACACACAUUUAUAAAAUAGACUUGGAAAGAGGUUGUCUACCUCUGGGUAGUAAACCCUUCUGAUUAUAGAGUUCCUAAUAGAAACAAUAUGUUGAUUAAUAUUUUACAAAAUCACAAAUUUCCAAAAUAAAGAACAUUAGAGCUUGUGUUUUCAAGUGAUACUUAGAUUAAAUACCAGUCUUAAACCAGACAACUAUCUUCAAUACCCAAAUCAUUAAAACUAACUGGGAUGUUGUACUGUAAAUGUUCAAAGUGGAGGAAUUAGCCAUUUCUUCUCAUGACUGUCUACCAAAAAAAUUGAGAAACUCUCAAAUAAAUCUUAACAUUUAACAACAACAAUGACUAAUAGUAACAGCAUUUCCCAGAUCGUUCUUUAAAAGCGUAUUCCUUUUCCAUAGCUCACUUAAUCUUGAAAAUCAUGCCUCUUCAAUGCUAUUUUAAUGUUUCGGAUUAAAGAUAUGAAGUAAACAUUUAAUAUAUGAAGAGAACAAUCCACUUGAUAAAAAUCCUCGCAUUUCCAAAAUGUUUUCAUUUUAAGCAUUUGCAGAAGUUAAAUAAAUGUAGCAGACAUUCUAAAUUCGAUAAAAAAUUCAGAGAACCCGACAUUUUAUGUACCCCAAAGGUCCAAACAGAACCGAUGUAAAUGUCAAUAGCUGUCUCCCUUCCGGCUGAUACUUAAAUGGUUUUACUAGUACUCAAAGCAAUGAAAUCAGCAACUCUCUCUCCACACUCUAGUCAACACUCCAAUUUCCAAAGCCGCAAUUCGCAAACGUCAGUUGGGCGGGGGCGGUGGGGGAUCUUGAAGUAAUCCAAAAAUUUCCUUUCCCCUUUGACAGUCCACCAAAAGAUGUCAAACCAAAUCCAGCCUAUUGUAAAGCUCUGGGACCUCCCUUCCAAGGACACCGAACACAAGCUUAGACACCGCUGCGAAAAGCUGUCCAAAAGCGCCUGGCCGGACAGAAAUGUAAGGAGCCCAGGCCAAAACGAAUUAGAACCCCCAACAGAGGGUCCCGCAGACACCGCGGAAAAGAAGGUGGCAUUUAUUCCGGGGUAGACAGCUACGAACCAGUUACCCCAGCCAGUCUCUGGGGGCUCUCCAACCCAAGUUCAGGUUUAUGGCAGAUAUAUUGGUUGGGUGCCUUCCCCUACAAACAUCACAGCCCGCCUCCGGGGCCCACCGCCGCUCACAGAGAAGACCCCUCAGCUUCACAUCCGUUCCUUUUGCCCUCGGACAAAGGCAGAGGAGCUGUGGAGCUGACCCAGCGCUGUGGGGCAGUAAAAAUGCCUUGUUCGGGCCACCCAUCUUUGGGCCCGGCUUCAUCUGCGAUGUCAGCACCAAAGGUUUUUUUUUUUUUUUUCCUGGUUUUGUUUUGUUUUUACAACGCAUCCUGGGCGGGUGUAUGCAUUUGGUGGUAGUGGGGUGGGGGGAACCGAACAGAGGAGGGGUUGGCAGUGAAGCCUGGGUUAUAGAACUCUCCUUCCUCUCCCUCCUUCCAGGGUUGCCGUGCAGGGAGUGUCAGCCACGUCUAGCGCACAGUCCCAGGCCCCAGGGCGAAGGCGGCCAGGGGAAAUGGGGCUCAGGGAUUGCUAAGCAAACGCAUCACUGGUGGUCUCCAGCGCCUGCGGAGUAUCUUUUGCUGCCUCUUACGUAUUGUAGGCAGUGCCUGAUGGCUGAGAAGAAUCGCAGAGGACUAGAAAAGGUUUGAGUCUGAAAUUAUCUGGCACAGAGGAUUAAAGCUCAGAAAUAAGUGAUUGCGAAACAGUUCAACUUCCCUGUUAAUGACAACAACAACAGCAACACGCUUAUUAAUUCCUAGCUGGAGCAUCAAGCUUAUGAAGAUUUCCAAGACUUUAUUGUUGACCCUUGUUGAAGAGAACUCUACUUGGCUUCUUUCCUGGCUUUCCUAAAUUGUUCACAUACAAGAUAAACUACCGUCAUUCAGACUUACAGAAGUGAGAAGACAAGCUGAACCAAAUGUAAAAUGGUAGCAAUUUACAGAUGUCAGAACUAACAUGUGGAUGAACUUAGAGAUGGAGAAGAAAGCUGGGCUUUUCCAAAGAGUGGAUCUAUCUGAACUGGAUAGCACUAUUGAACUUUGUUGCAUAUUUUGUGGUAGCUCUAAAACUCCUCUGCUUGCUUACAUACAACCAGACACCAGUGCCUUCUGAAGCUAAUCCAGGCCAUUUUUAUAACCUAAUGCAGUAGCACUUUGCAAUUAGAUGAAGAAGAUCGGUGGGAUUUCUUUCUGUGGUGAUUAAAAUGUGUCAGGGGAAGAAAUCAAGACAAUACUCCAAGUGAAAAAUAUAAAGUCAGUUAUUUCUUUAAUAUUUUGUGUUAUAGUAAUCAUUUUUAUAUUUUGAGCAUACUUUUUCUUGUCUACUUAAAUACUCAAAAUUAAUUAUAAAAUGUAAAUGUAAGCACAAUGAGAUACCAUCUCAUCCCAGUUAAAAUGGCUUUUAUCAAAAAGAUAGGGAAUAAUGAAUACUGGUGGAAGGAUGUGGAGAAUGGGGAACCCUCGUACACUGUCAAUGAGAAUGUAAAUUAGUACAGCCACUAUGGAAAACUGUAUGGAAGUGCCUCCGAAAACAAAGUAGAACUACCAUGUGAUCCAGCAAUUACACUAGUGGGUAUAUAUUCAAAAGAAAGGAAAUCAACAUAUUAAAGAGAUAGCUGCAUUCUCAUGUUUAUUGAAGUCCUGUUGAAAUAGCCAAAAUAUGGAAUCAACCUAAGUGCCCAUCAGUGGAUGAAUGGUUAAAGAAAAUGUGAUUGAUAUGCAAUGGAAUAUUAUUCAGCCAUAAAAAAGAAUGAAAUCCUGGCGGGGCACAGUGGCUCAUGCAAGUAAUCCCAGCACUGACCUCAUGAAGACAGAGAGUAGAUUGGUGGUUACCAGAGGUUGAGAAGGGGAGAGGAGAGGAGGGAUGAAGAGAGGUUGAUUGAUGGAUAGAAAUAUACAGUUUGAUAAUGAUAAAUCAGUAGGGUGACUAUAGUUUAUAAUAACCUAUUGUAUGGUUCAAAAUAGCUAAAAGAGAAUAAUUGAAAUAACGUAAGACAAAAAUUUAAGAUGAUAGAUAUCCCAAUUACACUGAUUUGAUCUUUACAAAUUAUAUGAAUGUAUUAAAUUAUUACAUGUAUCCCCAAAAUAUGUACAAGUAUUUUGUAUCAAUAAAAAAUAAAAUUUAAGAUAAAGUAAAUGUAAUGAUUAGCUUAUAUUUCCUAGAUCGGAAAUAAAUAUUUACUUAAGUAUGUUUAUGAUGAAGAGUUUUUUUAUAUUACUAUAAAAAUAGACACCUUACAUAAACAUAUUACAGUUGGUGUUUAGAUGGCUCUUUUUUUUCUGGCCUUGAAUUUCUGGAAAGUAGGUAUGGCCUGCUAUGUCAGGACUAGUUCUUGGAAUUCUUUGUUGUUUUUCAGUCAGCCUUAUUUUCUUGGGUCAUGUUUUGAACAAUAUUUAUCAAAUGUCUGUUUACCAGACGUUGUUCCAGAUGCUUGAACAAAAUGAAAUGUCUGCUGUCAUAGAGUUUCCAGUCUAUGUAAGACAGUAAACAAAUGUAUAAUAUAAUGCUAGAUAGUGAUAAGUGCUAAAAAGAAGAAGAAAAUAGGAAAGGGGAAAGAGAGUUUCUGUGUGAUUGUAUGUGAAAGUGUCCAUGCAUGCCGCUCACCCAGUAUUUUAAAUAGAGUGAUCAAGGAAGCCUGUCUGAAGAAGUAACAUUUGAACAGAGAUCUGAAAUAGUCAGUCACGGGAACAUUUAGGGAGAUGUUCCAGGCAGGCAUUGUGGACAAUUUAUGUCACAAAAAAGUCACCCAAGUGUUAAGUCAAGUAACAUCCUGUAUGAUAACUAUAUAUACAUUUUUUUGUUUUUUCUUAAGUGAAAAACAAACUUAUUAGGUUUUCUGGGUACUCAUUAGGUUUUCAGAAAAGUUUUUCAUUUAAUAUCAUUAUUGCUGUAUAUUUCCCUUAAUGAUUAUUCUAUUAUUUAAUACAUAAGAUUUAUGGCUCUACAGAUACAGCUUCACAAUCCCUUAUCUGUAAUUCCAAAAUACAAAAAAAUUUCUUAAUUCAUUUAGUGGCAAAAUCUGAACUGACAUGAAUCUAUUUAAAAUUAUCCUUUAUGGGCCAGGUGCAGUGGCUUACGCCUAUAAUCCCAGCACUUUGGGAGGCCAAGGCAGGAGGAUCACUUGAGGCCAGGAGUUUGAGACCAGCCUGGCCAACAUGGUGAAAUCCCAUUUCUCCUAAAAAUACAAAAAUUAGCUGGGUGUGGUGGCACAUGCUUGUGGUCCCACCUACUUGGGAGGCUGAGGCACGAGAAUCACUUGAACCUGGGAGGUGGAGGUUGCCGAGAUCUUGCCACUGCACUCCAGCCUGGGUGACAGAGCGAAACUCUUGUCUCAAAAAAAAAAAAAGUAUUUAUUCCAUUUAGUGUGACUACUGAUACAUUUCAUUGUAGAAACAUUAGUGUGUUUGAUGAAGGGUUGCUACACAUUAAGUAAAAUAUAGAUAAUACAAUGUAUUGUACCCUAAAAUAUAAAAAAAAUUAAAUCCAGAAACACGUGUUCCCAAGAAUUUUGGAUAAGGGAUUGUAGAUCUGUGUCAGAUUUCUUCUUGAUUUUCUGAUUAAAUGUUACCAUUGUUGUUAAUCUUUAGAUACAUUGUUUUUAGAAGUAUAAUGCUAUAUAGUGCCCUUAUUAUAUACUGGCAU
rnacentral:lncRNA from 1 species